UACGUAGGGUGCGAGCGUUGUCCGGAAUUAUUGGGCGUAAAGAGCUUGUAGGCGGUUUGUCGCGUCUGCUGUGAAAUCUCAAGGCUCAACCUUGAGCUUGCAGUGGGUACGGGCAGACUAGAGUGUGGUAGGGGAGACUGGAAUUCCUGGUGUAGCGGUGAAAUGCGCAGAUAUCAGGAGGAACACCGAUGGCGAAGGCAGGUCUCUGGGCCACUACUGACGCUGAGAAGCGAAAGCAUGGGGAGCGAAACAGG
rnacentral:rRNA from 1 species